rnacentral:rRNA from 1 species
UACGAAGGGGGCUAGCGUUGCUCGGAUUGACUGGGCGUAAAGGGCGCGUAGGCGGUCUGUACAGUCAGGCGUGAAAUUCCUGGGCUCAACCUGGGGGCUGCGUUUGAUACGUGCAGACUAGAGUGCGGAAGAGGGUCGUGGAAUUCCCAGUGUAGAGGUGAAAUUCGUAGAUAUUGGGAAGAACACCGGUGGCGAAGGCGGCGACCUGGUCCGGUACUGACGCUGAGGUGCGAAAGCGUGGGGAGCAAACAGG